GAUGAACGCUGGCGGCGUGCCUAACACAUGCAAGUCGAACGGAGCUGCUUUGAUGAAGUUUUCGGAUGGAUUUAAAACAGCUUAGUGGCGGACGGGUGAGUAACGCGUGGGUAACCUGCCUCACACUGGGGGAUAACAGUUAGAAAUAGCUGCUAAUACCGCAUAAGCGCACGGUUCCGCAUGGAACAGUGUGAAAAACUCCGGUGGUGUGAGAUGGACCCGCGUCUGAUUAGCCAGUUGGCGGGGUAACGGCCCACCAAAGCGACGAUCAGUAGCCGGCCUGAGAGGGUGAACGGCCACAUUGGGACUGAGACACGGCCCAAACUCCUACGGGAGGCAGCAGUGGGGAAUAUUGCACAAUGGGGGAAACCCUGAUGCAGCGACGCCGCGUGAGUGAAGAAGUAUUUCGGUAUGUAAAGCUCUAUCAGCAGGGAAGAAAGUGA
rnacentral:rRNA from 1 species